UGCCACUUUCUGAAAAUUUCUCACUUUUACUAUCACCGCAACACGACCUCGUUUCGAAUCAUUUCUGAUUCCUCUCUCUUUCUCUCUCUAUAAAUAAAUAAACCACUUUUCUUUCUAAGUCUGUUAAUUCAGUUUAUUUACCAUGGCAAUUUCCGAUACACCGGAAACCACUGCAACCGCCACAGCCACCGUAACAACCAUCGAAACCGACACAGAUCUCAAACGCUCUUCACUCCGACGACGACCGAGCGCCACAUCAACCGCCGGUGGUCUCUUCGACGCGGAAAGUGCAGCUGCAGAUGCCGUUCGAGAUUCAGGCUCCGAUGAUUCGUUGAACGGUAAGAUCAACAACGAAGAAGAGGUUAAAGAUCGAAAAACGGAUCAUGCAGAAGGAAUUGUUGACGAUGAUGAUGAUAAUGCGGUUAAGAAGAAUGGUGGUAAUGACGUCAUCAAUGAUCGUGAAAAUGUUGCUGUCGAUUUCAAAUUCACUUAUCGUCCUUCAGUUCCCGCUCACCGGAGAAGCAAAGAAAGUCCUCUUAGCUCCGGCAAUAUUUUUAGACAGAGUCAUGCAGGACUGUUCAAUCUCUGUAUUGUGGUGCUUGUUGCAGUGAAUAGUAGGCUUAUUAUUGAAAAUCUGAUGAAGUAUGGAUGGUUGAUUCGAUCUGGCUUUUGGUUUAGUUCAAAAUCGCUUAGAGAUUGGCCCCUCUUCAUGUGUUGUCUUAGUCUUGCAAUAUUUCCACUUGCUGCCUUUGUAGUCGAAAAGUUGGCCCAACAAAAACGUAUUUCUGAACCAGUUAUUGUUCUCCUUCAUAUUGUAAUUACAACUGUUGCGAUCAUCUAUCCAGUUUUAGUUAUCCUCUGGUGCGAUUCUGCUUUUUUAUCUGGUUCCACGUUAAUGCUAUUGACUUGCAUAGUGUGGUUAAAAUUGGUGUCAUAUGCACAUACAACCUAUGAUAUGAGAGCGCUUGCUGUUUCAAAUGAAAAGGGAGAAACAAUGCCCGAUACUUUCAAUAUGGAGGAGUACCCACACAAUGUGAGCUUCCAGAGUUUAGCAUACUUCAUGGUUGCUCCUACAUUAUGCUACCAGCCAAGCUAUCCUCGCACACCUUCGGUUCGAAAGGGUUGGGUCUGUCGACAACUUCUCAAGCUGGUCAUAUUUACAGGAGUUAUGGGAUUUAUAAUAGAACAAUAUAUGAAUCCUAUUGUCCAGAAUUCACAACAUCCAUUGAAGGGAAACCUUCUAUAUGCCAUUGAGAGAGUUCUGAAGCUUUCUGUUCCAAAUGUUUAUGUGUGGCUGUGCAUGUUCUAUUGCUUUUUCCAUCUUUGGUUAAAUAUACUUGCGGAGCUUCUCCGGUUUGGUGAUCGUGAGUUCUACAAAGAUUGGUGGAAUGCCCAAACGGUUGAAGAGUAUUGGAGGAUGUGGAAUAUGGAAUCACAACAGAGUUGGAAUAUUCUACAAACUAACAUGAUUAGAAUAUUUUAGAAACUCUACACAAGGCAUAGUCUUACCCACACAAUACUCUAUACUCAGUACUCUAUCAAAGGAUGAUAUCUAGGCUGAUUAACCUGUUAUCUAAGCCAGAAACCUGUGCACAAAUGGAUGGUUCGUCACGUGUAUUUUCCCUGCAUAAGGUUUGGUAUACCCAAGGGUGCUGCUGCUUUGACUGCUUUCCUGGUUUCUGCUGUGUUCCAUGAGUUAUGCAUUGCUGUUCCUUGCCGCAUGUUCAAGUUGUGGGCUUUUAUUGGAAUUAUGUUCCAGGUUCCUUUGGUCUUGAUCACCAAUUACCUGAAAAAUAAAUACAGAAACUCAAUGGUUGGAAAUAUGAUUUUUUGGUUCAUAUUUUGUAUUCUUGGUCAACCUAUGUGUGUACUACUAUACUAUCAUGACUUGAUGAAUAGGAAAGGUGAAAUUGACUGAGGUAGCAUUACAUCAUUACAGUUAUGUGGAUGAGCUUUUACUUUUGCAGAGCUAAAUCGAUGUACAUAUGUUGCUCAAUGUUAUCUCCAGUGACUAUCAUCUGCUAUGACGGUGGUUCAUAUGGGUUAAGCAUUUCCAUGUGAUUUGCUUCGUCUUUUUGAAGUUAGUUAUCUAUGUAUUUAUUUAACUGAAUUGCUUUGGCACUUCAGCAAUAUGCAGACAAUUUUGAAAGCACAUGAACAAUGUUAUGCGCUAAAGUAAAAACCAACAGGUUUCAGAUAAUUGAGGCAUAAGCUGUAAGUGCCUAAAUGAUUUAGCUGUAGAUGAUUUAUGGAAGUUUUAAAUUUGAAUAAUGAUGGCUAGUAUUGGUUGAAACUUAAA